rnacentral:rRNA from 1 species
UACGUAGGGUGCGAGCGUUAAUCGGAAUUACUGGGCGUAAAGCGUGCGCAGGCGGUUUUGUAAGCCAGAUGUGAAAUCCCCGGGCUUAACCUGGGAACGGCAUUUGGGACUGCAAGGCUGGAGUGCGGCAGAGGAGACUGGAAUUCCCGGUGUAGCAGUGAAAUGCGUAGAUAUCGGGAGGAAUACCGAUGGCGAAGGCAGGUCUCUGGGCUGACACUGACGCUCAUGCACGAAAGCGUGGGGAGCAAACAGG